GACAGAGGUGCCGAGCGUUAGGCGGAAUCACUGGGCUUAAAGCGUGUGUAGGCGGAUCGUUAAGUACCUUGUGAAAUCCCACGGCUUAACCGUGGAACUGCUGGGUAUACUGGCGAUCUUGAGCCACCUAGGGGCAACCGGAACAAAUGGUGGAGCGGUGAAAUGCGUAGAUAUCAUUUGGAACGCCAAUGGUGAAAACAGGUUGCUGGGGGGUGUGCUGACGCUGAGACACGGAAAGCCAGGGGAGCGAACGGG
rnacentral:rRNA from 1 species